ACCCCACCCCCGGGAGGGGCUGUAGGCUUGCGGCAGCUCUGGCGGGCCGUGGGCGCGGGCUGCGGCGGUGGCCAGGUGGGCGGUGCUGCGGAGGGCUCACGGCCGGUUCCAGGGCGGGAACCUGGAGGAAAAGGCGCCCUGCGGCCUGGGGAGCCGGAGCCGCCCCCUCUCCCCCCGCCCCACGACUGAUGGAGAGAGAGCCAGAGGUGCGGAGGGACCCUUACGGGCCCGGGGACCAGGGACUCGCGGCAAGCAGAGAGAGUGCGAGGAAGUGGGCGCAGGGCCCAGAACACGGUUCACAAUCCAUUGAGGUAGCCACUGGAGUCCGACUGAAGGGAGGAAAAUAUCAACUUUGUCCCGGGCAGGCACUAGAAUGGUGGCCAUGCCUUUAGAUCUGCCAGGACAAUGGACCUGCAUGUACUUCACCCCAGAAUUAAAUAAAAUAUGUUAAACGGC